GAUGAACGCUGGCGGCGUGCCUAAUACAUGCAAGUCGAGCGAACAGACGAUGAGCUUGCUCCUCUGACGUUAGCGGCGGACGGGUGAGUAACACGUGGAUAACCUCCCUGUAAGACUGGGAUAUCUUCGGGAAACCGGAGCUUAUCCCGGAUGAUAUAUUGAACCGCAUUGUUCGAUAGUAAAAGACGGUGUUGCGGGCACUACUAGAUGGAUCCGGGCCGCAUUAGCUAGUUGGUAAGUUAACGGCCUACCACGGCAACGAGGCGUAACCGACCGGAGGGAGGGAUAGGCCACCCGGGAGGUUGACCGGGGUCAAGACUCCUAAGGGAGGGCGCAGAAGGGAACCGGACGCAAUAGGCGAAAGCCUGACAGAGCGACGGCGCGUGAGAGAUGACGGUGUUCGGAUCGUAAAAAUCUGUUAUUAGGGAUGAACCACUGUGUAAGUAAAUAUGCAGGUAUUGACGGUACCUAAUCAGAAAGCCACGGCUAACUACGUG
rnacentral:rRNA from 1 species